CCUACGGGUGGCAGCAGUGGGGAAUAUUGGACAAUGGGCGAAAGCCUGAUCCAGCCAUGCCGCGUGUGUGAAGAAGGCCUUCGGGUUGUAAAGCACUUUCAGUGGGGAAGAAAGCCUUGGGGCUAAUACCCUCGAGGAAGGACAUCACCCACAGAAGAAGCACCGGCUAACUCCGUGCCAGCAGCCGCGGUAAUACGGAGGGUGCGAGCGUUAAUCGGAAUUACUGGGCGUAAAGCGCGCGUAGGCGGUCUGAUAAGCCGGUUGUGAAAGCCCCGGGCUCAACCUGGGAACGGCAUCCGGAACUGUCAGGCUAGAGUGCAGGAGAGGAAGGUAGAAUUCCCGGUGUAGCGGUGAUAUGCGUAGAGAUCGGGAGGAAUACCAGUGGCGCAGGCGGCCUUCUGGACUGACACUGACGCUGAGGUGCGAAAGCGUGGGUAGCACACAGGAUUAGAUACCCCUGUAGUC
rnacentral:rRNA from 1 species